AAAUCAGCGGCGUGAUAUGGUGAUUUAUGUUUUUCCGGCAAAUACGAAGCAAAUACAUAUUCUAUCGUAUCUGGCUCCUACGUACGCUCGCCCCUAGCCUGUACUCGCCUACUUCGCCCGUCCACUACCCCCGUGACCAGGCUGCCCCAUCCACCAAGCCAUUCAAAUUUCGAAUCUCAUCAGGUAGACUGGGCUACAUCGACCUGCUGUGCCACGCCCUACCCAUCGUCGCCCCUGGAUCGCGGAUCUUGUGAGGUUUACGAUUCAAGAAUGAAUCACGGUGGCGAGUCAUUCAUGGACCUGCUCUUCAGUUUUUGUUCCCAACCGGUCGCACCCGAGGGCGUCCCAGAUCUGGCGUUGCUAGAGGAAGGGGAGGAAGGGGAGGAAGACGACGAGUGCGGAGGUGGAGGGGAAUAUGGUGGUAACGACUCACUCAAGUUCUGCAUCUCAAGUUCAUGAAGGCAUGGAAGAUUUUCUCAAUGUCCCAGAUUGUGACAACACCGACAGUUACAAAGAGCCUCCAUCUGAAUCCCAUCGCACUCCAAGCCCGUGGCCUCAAAGGAUCCGUCUCGGUAAGAUACCUGACCGCCACGCCUCAUUGUUGGGAAGGAAAAGUGCUUUGGAGAAGGCCAUGAGAAACUUCGCAGAUAAGAAGUCAGCUAUCAUCGUCAAGCCAGAGAUCAGUCAGGAAUUUGACUCUCUGGACGAAGUGUACGACUUCUACAAUCUAUACUCUUGGGAGACUGGUUUUGGCAUCAAGUAUGGGCAAUGCAUAAGAAAUGUUGACAAGUGCAAGACGGUCCAGGACAUAGUAUGUGGAUGCGCGGGGAAACCACGUAGGGAGAAUUCACAUUCAGUAUGCUGCCAAUGUCCUGCACUUAUGAGGUUGCAUCGCACAUCAGACCAUGGCUGGUUCAUCCAUGAAAUGAAGUAUGAGCAUAAUCACGGUAUGACACAAACAUGUGGAGAGAAGUUGCACUAGCCAUCUCACAGGCACAUUGAUGCCCAUGCCAAAGACAUUGUCAUGCACCUUAGGAACAACAACAUAUCUUUAAGCAAGCUUUCGGUGUGAUCGCAAGAUUUUUUGGAGAUAUGGAAAACCUGGCCUUUAACAAGAGGUCGCUGUGCUAUCUGUGCAAGAGGAUGAAUCAGCAACAGGGAGAUGAUGACAUCAGGAAGACAAUUCAGCCAUUCUCUGAAUUGAAAGAGAGGGAUCCAAAUUUUGUUGACAGUGUGCUUGUGGACGAAGAGAGCAAAAUCAGAGCACUGAUGUGGACAGAUGGUAAGAGCCUCCACCAGUACAAAUUCUUCGGAGACGCAAUAACUUCGACACAACAUAUCGUACCAACCAGUACGACAUGCCUUUCGGAUUGUUUGUUGGUGUCAACAAUCACUUCUAGAGCAUCAUACUUGGAGGAGUAUUGCGUCACGACGAAAAAACUGAGACCUUCGAGUGGGUGUUCAAGGAAUUCGUGUCCUUGAUGGGAGGGAAGGCUCCAAAAACAAUUCUAACGGAUCAAGCCCGUGCAAUGGAGAAGGCUAUAUCUUCCCAGUGGCCUGAUACUACACACAGAUGGUGCAAAUGGCAUGUACUACAAAAAGCAAGGGAACACCUAGGACCUGUUUAUUCCAAAAAUAGUGACUUUAGAGACGAGUUUCACAAGCUGCUAGAGUAUAUAGUGACAGUAGACGAGUUCGAAACUGCAUGGGCUUGCUUAAUUGAGAAAUAUCAACUUGAAGACCAUCCAUGGCUCACUCAAAUAUACGAAGUUAGAGCAAAAUGGGCAAAGCCAUAUUUUGCAGGAGUCUUCUGUGAAAGGAUGACCAGCACACAACGUUUGGAGAGUGCAAACCACAUGCUCAAGCACUACGUGCAACCGGCAUCGUCUAUGAACAACUUUGUUAGGCAGUAUCAGAAAAUAUUGUUCGACCGCCAAUCAGAGGAAGAUUUUCAAGAGAAGAAGACUCGUGUGGGUGGCGCUGUUUUUAACCUUGGACUGCCACUAGAAUACCAUGCGAGCAAGGGCUAUACCGCAGCUAUGUAUGAGCUGUUUCAACAUGCAAUUUAAUUGUCAGGGUCAUAUGUGUUACAAGAGGCAUGUCGGACAGAGCUAGGUGUGGUGUACAUCGUUAACCACAUCUAUGCAGAGAGGAGGCAAGCUUGGUCCAGGACACAAUAUCAUGUUCUGUUUGAUGAGGAAUCUGGAGGAUAUUUAUGUGAGUGUGGUCUUUACUCACACAUGGGCAUGUUGUGUUGCCAUGCUAUCCAGGUCAUGCUAAAUUUGGGAGUUAGGGAGAUCCAACAUGUACACAUCAUGAAGAGAUGGACAAAGAAUGCUUGUGAGAACCUGCCAGAGCAUCUGAAGAUAUAUCAAGCAGGCAAUUCCGCACUGAAGGACGCAACUUACCGACACUCUAGCUUGUACAGUAAGGCACUCGAGAUUGUACAGAUGGGGGAUAAGAACACCGAAGCUUACAUAGCUGCAAUGAAGCAGUUACUAGAUGCAAUAAAUGUUCUAAACGAUACCAACCAGGAGAGUGAUGGGCUGGGAUUACAUGAUAAGGCAGCGGCUCCAGUGCACGACCAAGAUAUGC